GAUGAACGCUGGCGGCGUGCCUAAUACAUGCAAGUCGAGCGAAUGGAUUAAGAGCUUGCUCUUAUGAAGUUAGCGGCGGACGGGUGAGUAACACGUGGGUAACCUGCCCAUAAGACUGGGAUAACUCCGGGAAACCGGGGCUAAUACCGGAUAACAUUUUGAACCGCAUGGUUCGAAAUUGAAAGGCGGCUUCGGCUGUCACUUAUGGAUGGACCCGCGUCGCAUUAGCUAGUUGGUGAGGUAACGGCUCACCAAGGCAACGAUGCGUAGCCGAGCUGAGAGGGUGCUCGGCCACACUGGGACUGAGACACGGCCCAGACUCCGACGGGAGGCAGCAGUAGGGAAUCUUCCGCAAUGAACGAAGGUCUGACGGAGCAACGCCGCGUGAGUGAUGAAGGCUUUCGGGUCGUAAAACUCUGUUGUUAGGGAAGAACAAGUGCUAGUUGAAUAAGCUGGCACCUUGACGGUACCUAACCAGAAAGCCACGGCUAACUACGUGCCAGCCGCCGCGGUAA
rnacentral:rRNA from 1 species